GGCAGGUUAGUUCAGAGGUAGAACGCCGCUAUGACAUGGCGGAUGUCGGGGGUUCAAUUCCCUCACCUGCUA
rnacentral:tRNA from 1 species